GUGUCAGCAGCCGCGGUAAGACGAAGGUGGCAAGCGUUGCUCGGAAUCACUGGGCAUAAAGCGCGCGUAGGUGGCUUGAUAAGUCGAUGGUGAAAUCCCAUGGCUCAACCAUGGAACUGCCACCGAUACUGUUGGGCUUGAGGACGGUAGGGGAGAGUGGAACUCCUGGUGUAGCGGUGAAAUGCGUAGAUAUCAGGAGGAACGCCGGUGGCGAAAGCGACUCUCUGGGCCGCUCCUGACACUGAUGCGCGAAAGCUAGGGGAGCAAACAGGAUUAGAUACCCUUGUAGUCC
rnacentral:rRNA from 1 species